ACAUUCAGCACUUGCCCAACAAAUAACAAUUGCUUAAGAUAAUCAUAAAUCGUAAGGAGUAAUGGAGAUAGAAACUUUGAGAAGGAGCUAUAGAGAACUAGUAUCGUAAGAGAACGUGCACAAUAAAGUCAAGAAGAGAUAAAACCUCGUCCCUUGUGUAUCAUGGCUUAGCAACUACACCUUUUAAAUUAACUUUCCCGAAGCCCAAUGAGCUACUCAUCCCCAGUUCAGAACUCACCAGUCCUUGUGGCAAAAAGGUUGAAAGAGGCUUGAGUAGAGACGAUAUAUCUGUCGCAUUGGGUCAUAGCUGGUUUCUAGAGAAAUAUAUCAAAGUAUAAGGAGGUUAACACCUCACUUCCUACUCAGGGGACAACCUCUAGGUAGAAGGAAUUCUGUGACACUUAACCUAAAUCAUAAUCUGGGCUUAAAACCAGCCUCGAUCUUAAAACAAGUUACAUUGUAAUGACUUCUUAGGGUAUAAUAAUAAGUACACAACUUAAAAGUAUCUAGAAAUUCUGAUCAACACAAAUCAGAAGCUACUAUGCUAAGACGAGUAUAGUAUGUUACGUAGUCAAACUAGUAAUCAUACCAAAAGAGUAGGGGUAAGGAACUCGGCAAACCCAAGCUUCGACUGUUUAUCAAAAACAUAGCUAUUCGAACUUAUGAAAAGUAAAGCCUGCCCGGUGGUAAUCUUAACGGCUGCGGU
rnacentral:rRNA from 1 species